rnacentral:rRNA from 1 species
GACGAACGCUGGCGGCGUGCCUAACACAUGCAAGUCUACUAGAGGUAGCAAUAUCUUUGGUGGCGAACGGGUGAGUAACGCGUAGAUAAUCUACCCUUUAAUCAUGGAUAACCUAGUGAAAACUGGACUAAUACAGGAUGUUAUCCGAAGUUGGCAUCAAUUUCGGAUCAAAGACCGAGAGUCGUUAAAGGAUGAGUCUGCGUAUCAUUAGCUAGUUGGUGGGGUAAAGGCCUACCAAGGCUACGAUGAUUAGCUGGUCUGAGAGGAUGAUCAGCCACACCGGAACUGAGACACGGUCCGGACUCCUACGGGAGGCAGCAGUGGGGAAUAUUGCGCAAUGGGCGAAAGCCUGACGCAGCCAUACCGCGUGUGUGAAGAAGGCC